CCUACGGGGGGCUGCAGUCGAGAAUCUUCCACAAUGGACGAAAGUCUGAUGGAGCGACGCCGCGUGACUGAUGACGCAUUUCGGUGUGUAAAGGUCUUUUAUGAGGGAUGACAUAAGCGACAGUACCUCAUGAAUAAGGGGCUGCUAAUCACGUGCCAGCAGCAGCGGUAAUACGUGAGCCCCGAGCGUUAUCCGGAAUUAUUGGGCGUAAAGAGUGCGUAGGCGGCGUAGUUAGUCUUCUGUUUAAUCCUUCGGCUCAACCGAAGAACUGCAGAGGAAACGGCUAUGCUUGAGCAUGUAAGAGGUGAGCAGAACUCAUGGUGUAGGGGUGAAAUCCGUUGAUAUCAUGGGGAAUACCAAAUGCGAAGGCAGCUCACUGGUACAUUGCUGACGCUGAGGCACGAAAGCGUAGGUAGCGAAUGGGAUUAGAUACCCGGGUAGUC
rnacentral:rRNA from 1 species